rnacentral:rRNA from 1 species
GAUGAACGCUGGCGGCGUGCCUAAUACAUGCAAGUCGAGCGAAUAGACGAGGAGCUUGCUCCUCUGACGUUAGCGGCGGACGGGUGAGUAACACGUGGAUAACCUACCUAUAAGACUGGGAUAACUUCGGGAAACCGGAGCUAAUACCGGAUAACAUGUUGAACCGCAUGGUUCAACAGUGAAAGACGGUUUUGCUGUCACUUAUAGAUGGAUCCGCGCCGCAUUAGCUAGUUGGUAAGGUAACGGCUUACCAAGGCAACGAUGCGUAGCCGACCUGAGAGGGUGAUCGGCCACACUGGAACUGAGACACGGUCCAGACUCCUACGGGAGGCAGCAGUAGGGAAUCUUCCGCAAUGGGCGAAAGCCUGACGGAGCAACGCCGCGUGAGUGAAGAAGGUCUUCGGAUCGUAAAACUCUGUUAUUAGGGAAGAACAAAUGUGUAAGUAACUAUGCACGUCUUGACGGUACCUAAUCAGAAAGCCACGGCUAACUACGUG